AACGUACGCUGGCGGCACGCCUAACACAUGCAAGUCGAACGAAGUAGCAAUACUUAGUGGCAGACGGGUGAGUAACAUGUAGGUAUCUGCCCUUUGGCCUGGAAUAACACGAGGAAACUUGUGCUAAUACCGGAUAAGUCUUUACGGAGAAAGCUUUAUGCACCAUUGGAUGAGCCUGCACUUGAUUAGUUUGUUGGUGGGGUAAUGGCCUACCAAGACUGUGAUCAAUAGCUGAUUUGAGAGGAUGAUCAGCCACAUUGGGACUGAGACACGGCCCAAACUCCUACGGGAGGCAGCAGUGGGGAAUCUUGCACAAUGGAGGAAACUCUGAUGCAGCGAUGCCGCGUGAGUGAAGAAGGCCCUUGGGUUGUAAAGCUCUUUCGUCGGGGAAGAAAAUGACUGUACCCGAAUAAGAAGGUCCGGCUAACUUCGUGCCAGCAGCCGCGGUAAUACGAAGGGACCUAGCGUAGUUCGGAAUUACUGGGCUUAAAGAGUUCGUAGGUGGUUGAAAAAGUUAGUGGUGAAAUCCCAGAGCUUAACUCUGGAACUGCCAUUAAAACUUUUCAGCUAGAGUAUGAUAGAGGAAAGCAGAAUUUCUAGUGUAGAGGUGAAAUUCGUAGAUAUUAGAAAGAAUACCAAUUGCGAAGGCAGCUUUCUGGAUCAUUACUGACACUGAGGAACGAAAGCAUGGGUAGCGAAGAGGAUUAGAUACCCUCGUAGUCCAUGCCGUAAACGAUGUGUGUUAGACGUUGGAAAUUUAUUUUCAGUGUCGCAGGGAAACCGAUAAACACACCGCCUGGGGAGUACGACCGCAAGGUUAAAACUCAAAUGAAUUGACGGGGACCCGCACAAGUAGUGGAGCAUGUGGUUUAAUUCGAAGAUACGCGCAGAACCUUACCAACACUUGACAUGUUCGUCGCGACUCUAAGAGAUUAGAGUUUUCGGUUCGGCCGGACGAAACACAGGUGCUGCAUGGCUGUCGUCAGCUCGUGUCGUGAGAUGUUGGGUUAAGUCCCGCAACGAGCGCAACCCUCACUUUUAGUUGCCAUCAUUAAGUUGGGCACUCUGAAAGAACUGCCAGUGAUAAGCUGGAGGAAGGUGGAGAUGACGUCAAGUCCUCAUGGCCCUUACGUGUUGGGCUACACACGUGCUACAAUGGUAUCUACAACAGGAAGCAAGACUGCGAAGUUAAGCAAAUCCCUAAAAGAUACCUCAGUUCGGAUUGCACUCUGCAACUCGAGUGCAUGAAGCUGGAAUUACUAGUAAUCGUGGAUCAGCGUGCCACGGUGAAUGCGUUCCCGGGUCU
rnacentral:rRNA from 1 species